rnacentral:rRNA from 1 species
CCUACGGGGGGCAGCAGUAGGGAAUAUUGGUCAAUGGGGGAAAGCCUGAAGCAGCCAAGCCGCGUGGAGGAUGAAGGUUCUCGGAAUGUUAAACCUCUUUGUUAGAGAAGAAAAUGACGGUACGUAUCGAAUAAUCAACGGAUAACACGGAGCAAGCAGCGGCGGCAACAUGGAGGUAGCCAACGUUACUCGGAAUCACCGGGCGUAAAGGGAGCGUAGGCGGGUUAGUAAGUCAGAUGUGAAAUCCUAUGGCUUAACCAUAGAACUGCAUUUGAAACUGUUAGUCUAGAGUAUGGGAGAGGUAGGUGGAAUUCGUGGUGUAGCGGUGAAAUGCGUAGAGAUCAAGAGGAAUACUGAUUGCGAAGGCAGCCUGCUAGAACAUAACUGACGCUGAUGCGCGAAAGCGUGGGUAGCAAACAGGAUUAGAUACCCGUGUAGUC